rnacentral:rRNA from 1 species
GAACGUACCUUUUGGUUCGGAACAACACAGGGAAACUUGUGCUAAUACCGGAUAAGCCCUUACGGGGAAAGAUUUAUCGCCGAAAGAUCGGCCCGCGUCUGAUUAGCUAGUUGGUAGGGUAAUGGCCUACCAAGGCGACGAUCAGUAGCUGGUCUGAGAGGAUGAUCAGCCACAUUGGGACUGAGACACGGCCCAAACUCCUACGGGAGGCAGCAGUGGGGAAUAUUGGACAAUGGGGGCAACCCUGAUCCAGCCAUGCCGCGUGAGUGAUGAAGGCCCUAGGGUUGUAAAGCUCUUUUGUGCGGGAAGAUAAUGACGGUACCGCAAGAAUAAGCCCCGGCUAACUUCGUGCCAGCAGCCGCGGUAAUACGAAGGGGGCUAGCGUUGCUCGGAAUCACUGGGCGUAAAGGGUGCGUAGGCGGGUCUUUAAGUCAGGGGUGAAAUCCUGGAGCUCAACUCCAGAACUGCCUUUGAUACUGAAGAUCUUGAGUUCGGGAGAGGUGAGUGGAACUGCGAGUGUAGAGGUGAAAUUCGUAGAUAUUCGCAAGAACACCAGUGGGCGAAGGCGGCUCACUGGCCCGAUAACUGACCGCUGAAGGCACGAAAAGCCGUGGGGGAGCCAAACAGGAUAUA